rnacentral:rRNA from 1 species
UCGAACGGCAGCACGGAGCUUGCUCUGGUGGCGAGUGGCGAACGGGUGAGUAAUAUAUCGGAACGUACCCUAGAGUGGGGGAUAACGUAGCGAAAGUUACGCUAAUACCGCAUACGAUCUAAGGAUGAAAGUGGGGGAUCGCAAGACCUCAUGCUCGUGGAGCGGCCGAUAUCUGAUUAGCUAGUUGGUAGGGUAAAAGCCUACCAAGGCAUCGAUCAGUAGCUGGUCUGAGAGGACGACCAGCCACACUGGAACUGAGACACGGUCCAGACUCCUACGGGAGGCAGCAGUGGGGAAUUUUGGACAAUGGGCGAAAGCCUGAUCCAGCCAUGCCGCGUGAGUGAAGAAGGCCUUCGGGUUGUAAAGCUCUUUUGUCAGGGAAGAAACGGUGAGAGCUAAUAUCUCUUGCUAAUGACGGUACCUGAAGAAUAAGCACCGGCUAACUACGUGCCAGCAGCCGCGGUAAU